GACGAACGCUGGCGGCGUGCUUAACACAUGCAAGUCGAACGAAGUGGCGGACGGGUGAGUAACGGGUAAGCAACCUGCACUUCAGUGGGGGACAACAGUUGGAAACGACUGCUAAUACCGCAUACUGUGGACCGGGGUUGCGUGUGAUUAGCUAGUUGGAGGGGUAACGGCCCACCAAGGCGAUGAUCAGUAGCCGGUCUGAGAGGAUGAACGGCCACAUUGGGACUGAGACACGGCCCAGACUCCUACGGGAGGCAGCAGUGGGGAAUCUUCCGCAAUGGAGGAAAGUCUGACGGAGCAACGCCGCGUGAGUGAUGACGGCCUUCGGGUUGUAAAGCUCUGUUAAUCGGGACGCGGUACCGGAAUAGAAAGCCACGGCUAACUACGUGCCAGCAGCCGCGGUAAUUC
rnacentral:rRNA from 1 species